rfam:Camelus ferus unplaced genomic scaffold scaffold2524, whole genome shotgun sequence.
GAGGGUGUAGCUUAAGUAGUAGAGCGCAUGCUUAGCAUGCACGAGGUCCUGGGUUCAAUCCCCGGUGCCUCCU